GGCCAGCAGCCGCGGUAAUACGUAGGACGCAAGCGUUAUCCGGAUUCAUUGGGUUUAAAGGGUGCGUAGGCGGACCUUUAAGUCAGUGGUGAAAGACUGUCGCUUAACGAUAGCAUUGCCAUUGAUACUGGAGGUCUUGAGUGCAGAUGAGGUAGGCGGAAUGUGUAGUGUAGUGGUGAAAUACUUAGAUAUUACACAGAACACCGAUUGCGAAGGCAGCUUACUAAAUUGCAACUGACGCUGAGGCACGAAAGCGUGGGGAUCAAACAGGAUUAGAUACCCUGGUAGUCCACGCCGUAAACGAUGAUAACUGGUUGUUGGCGAUAUAUUGUCAGCGACUGAGCGAAAGCAUUAAGUUAUCCACCUGGGGAGUACGUCGGCAACGAUGAAACUCAAAGGAAUUGACGGGGGCCCGCACA
rnacentral:rRNA from 1 species